rnacentral:rRNA from 1 species
UGGGGAAUAUUGGACAAUGGGCGAAAGCCUGAUCCAGCCAUGCCGCGUGUGUGAAGAAGGUCUUCGGAUUGUAAAGCACUUUAAGUUGGGAGGAAGGGCAGUAAAUUAAUACUUUGCUGUUUUGACGUUACCGACAGAAUAGGCACCGGCUAACUCUGUGCCAGCAGCCGCGGUAAUACAGAGGGUGCAAGCGUUAAUCGGAAUUACUGGGCGUAAAGCGCGCGUAGGUGGUUCGUUAAGUUGGAUGUGAAAUCCCCGGGCUCAACCUGGGAACUGCAUUCAAAACUGACGAGCUAGAGUAUGGUAGAGGGUGGUGGAAUUUCCUGUGUAGCGGUGAAAUGCGUAGAUAUAGGAAGGAACACCAGUGGCGAAGGCGACCACCUGGACUGAUACUGACACUGAGGUGCGAAAGCGUGGGGAGCAAAACAGG